UCUUCCUUCUUCUUUUUCUCCUUCUUCCAUUCUGUUCCUUCGAUAUGAGGAAAUGAAAAAAGACUUGAAGGGAACCCUUGAGGCCAUUGCAGCCUUCUUGAAUCGAGAUCCUCUCACCCCAGAAAUAUUGUCUCUUCUUCUUCCUUCUCUCUCUUUCGAAGGAAUGCGAAAAAAUGAAGAAAAA
rnacentral:ribozyme from 13 species